rnacentral:rRNA from 1 species
AAAUUGAAGAGUUUGAUCAUGGCUCAGAUUGAACGCUGGCGGCAGGCCUAACACAUGCAAGUCGAACGGUAACAGGAAGAAGCUUGCUUCUUUGCUGACGAGUGGCGGACGGGUGAGUAAUGUCUGGGAAACUGCCUGAUGGAGAGGGAUAACUACUGGAAACGGUAGCUAAUACCGCAUAACGUCGCAAGACCAAAGAGGGGGACCUUCGGGCCUCUUGCCAUCGGAUGUGCCCAGAUGGGAUUAGCUAGUAGGUGGGGUAACGGCUCACC